GGUUGAAACUGAGACUUUAUGGUGAACAAUCGCUGCUGAGACAUCUGAAGAGAGGAGGAGUGUACCACUGAAAAUCCCAUGGCAGUCAGACUUCCCUGUGGGUGCUCAUUAUGUGUAUGCCUGACAUCUCAAGCAUCCAUGUGAUCAUUAUUGAGAGACAUUUUCUCUCAGGAGCAAAGUUUUCAUGGACUUUCCUCAAAUGAGUGAAACAGCGCCCCUCUGGGUUGCAAUGGCUGGUGCAUGUCAUUGGAUUCGGGUGGUCAAAAAGAGAUAUUGCACCCUCACACUCGAAGCAGUCGCGGAGUCCACCGAAGCCAAGACAGGUGAAGUUAUUUACAUAAAUAAAAAAAAAAAAAAGUGUAAACUGUUGGAAGAAUCGGUGCCCGCUGCGAAACAGAGCAUACAUUUGUGGAGAAGAAAAAUGUAAGCGAGCCGGGAAGCAAGCUAGCCGCGCUCUGGCCUCAUGACAAAGAAAAGAAAGUUGACAUUGUCCAGCUGCCAAAUGAAACGGUUAGUUUGCUCCCCCAGACAACGUUAGCCCACGAUGGAGAGAGAGGACAUGCGGGGUUCUGACAGCGAACAGACUGAACGACCCUUUACAGCAACAUGUGCAGUGGGACGUUGACCACCUCGCCUCCACGAAGCAAGCAUGAAACAGAGAGGGGGGAAUGGGCCUUCCACGCCGAGCAGCGUGAGUCAAAUAUCCCUAAAUCUUCUCUCUGUCUCUCUGCUCGCUGGCGUCUUUUUGGUCUCCUGAUGGGUUUUCUCUCUGUGUUUAUACUGGAUUUAUUUAUUUUUUUCAUUCACCUCGUUCGCACUCUGAAGCCGUUGUGUUGUUGCUGAAGUGCACUUGUUGACGUUGUGGAGGUUGUUUUAGUGUCUGCACUGUGCAUUUUUUCCCCUCUCCUGCUAAUUAAGCUGU